GACAGAGGAUGCAAGCGUUAUCCGGAAUGAUUGGGCGUAAAGCGUCUGUAGGUGGUUUGACAAGUCUUUUGUCAAAGAUCAGGGCUUAACCCUGGGCCGGCAAGAGAAACUAUCAGACUAGAGUUCGGUAGGGGCAGAGGGAAUUCCCGGUGUAGUGGUGAAAUGCGUAGAGAUCGGGAGGAAUACCUGUGGCGAAGGCGGCCUACUGGGCCGGACCUGACGCUGAGACGCGAAGGCGUGGGGAGCGAACGGG
rnacentral:rRNA from 1 species